rnacentral:lncRNA from 1 species
AUUUGUAUUCCUUUUACAUUUUCAUAUUUUUAAAAUCCUGUGCCAUAUUUUUAUCACAAUAGUGUAUCACAAAGCUGAACACACCUCCUCUUGAACAUUUAUCACUAGUGGCCUUGAAUCUUAUGUGAUAUCAUAAUCAGAAUUUCUACUUCAUAGUGACUGAUAGAGAGCAGCAGUCUCAGCUGUAAAAAUAGAGUCCCCAGGGAAUACUGAUAGCCUUUUUCCAAUAAAGCGAAAUCUAUUUGCAAUAAUAGGUAUAUGCAAAGACCUCCUGAAAUUACAGGAGCAAACUCCUUCCGCAUCUCGACCUAAUUAAGAUCCGUUACUCAACAGUGAUCAGUCAGAUUUUACUGUAAGAAGGAAGAAAACAAGGAUCCUGCUAGAACAACAUGGAAACAGGCUGAUCUUAGGACCUACAACAAAGAGAUUUCUCACUGGCUUCCUGGUGGUUCAUUCAAUAGGGAAUUCCUGCAGCAAGUUGGAGGGAGGGAGGAGAAGCAGGGAGGCCACCUCCUGUCAAAGCUGGGACAUCUGAGAGACAGUGGUCACACAACAACUCAACUGCAUGUGCACCUAAAACAGUAGCUUAUUUUCUCUGACUGUUUCUUCUUCUUCUUCUUCUACUCCUUAUUCUUAUUCUUCUUUCUGAUUUACCAACCUACUGGGUAUCAGUGCAAAAAAUUAUUUUACUUGCGAAUUAAUGAUAUCACCACGUUUUCUUGCUUAAACUGUCUUUUUAGGUUAGCUCAGCUACUCUGGGCUAAACAUUCAGUCUUUCAGAUAUACUCCACUUACCUUAGCUCCUCCCAUGGUGGUUCCGGGGUUGGAGAGGCUUACGUGACCUUAUGGUAGCAGGGCAGAGGCAGGGCUAUGCUGCUCAUGGGGCAUUCUGUAAAAGUAAGAUGUGUCUUCCUUAUGAUACCUUCCUUCCAGUUGUUGGAAAGUUGUCGUGCUGCUUUUAUUAGAGCAAGCAUCUUGUUGCCAUAUGCUUUAAAAUGGACAUAAUAAAUGUGCAAAUCUUCAAUGUCUGUUAAAUGAAUGGUGCCCUCUUAGACAUGGAUUUCUUGUGCAACACUCAACCUGCACAACUGUAUGCCAGUCUCUAUUUUUGUACCACAGUAAAGUGCAUGCAUAAGGCUGAAUAUGGGGUUUUCCCCAGAGGCUUGCAGCUAUCUUCAGGAAAAGCAGACUAUUGGCAUUGACCAUCCUGGCAACUCUGGAAAUUCUAUUGAUCUCAGGCCAUGAGGAUCAACAUUUGUCUCCGACAUCCUCAUUUUAACUCUUCUUUGCCUCCUCCCCUUAGACCACUGCGGUCAGGAGCCCAGGCUUUUUCAUUUCCCUGAAUAAUAGAAGCUUCGUUUACAUCAUGAUUGGUUCUCACUACCCCCUGGCAUAGAGAAAACUCCAAUUUUAAGUCAGCCAGGCCUACUUCUUGAUAUGAGAUGGGAGCCUAAGAGGUUUAAAAAGUUCUUUUAUUUCCCCAUAGUGUCUGGCUUUUGAGACUCCACUCACUAGUGACUCACAAACAAUGCUGACUUGCUUUUUCUAGCUAAAGUUUACCCUUUUCCUGAAGCAUAAAACACACUGUUUCUGUGUGUAGGCCCCACAGGGCAGCAGUGUUUUCUGGAUUUGAAAAAUUUAACAGAAAAGCUCUCAAAAAAUUGUAUUAUUUUAUCUGUCUUUUGUGGCAGUUUAUUGAAAGCUAUAAGAGGAAGCCAAAAACCACCAACAUUUUGAAUUUUUCCUUCCAAAGUCUUGAUUCCAGACCCUUGGUGGACAUUAUCUGAGUCUCGGGAUAUAGCAGGAAAUAGUUUAACCAGAGAUUUUGCUACCACUUAACAUGGGUUACUAACAUCACAAGCUAGCUCUAUCUUGGCAUUGCCUUCUCCACUGCAGCUCUUCAGCUCUGCCUAUUCAACAGUCUGGAGUCUGUAACAUCACCCUCACUUCCAUGUUCCAAAUUCCAUUAGGAUCCUUCAGGAUUCAAGGAACAAAAAUACCAGAUUCACAUUAAAAUAAUAAGGAAGUGUAUUUGGUUCAUGUACCUGCAAUAUUCAAGACUCUCUGUAUCUUUAGGACACAGCUCCAGUGUUGUGUGAUUCCCUGAGCUCUCCUUUUUCCCAUGCAUUGGCUAUUUCAUGUUAACAAAAUGGCCACAAGGAUUCCAGGCAUCUCAUUCACAUACCACCACAUCCAGAUUAAAAGAAAGAGUCUUUGUCCCAGAAUCUAAGCAAGUUCGGUCACAUGCCCACCACUGAACCAAUCACUGUGGCUUUGAUUGACUUAUUUAGGUACUACGUGCUCCAUUGCUAAAGCCAAGAACCAUGUAGGUCUGGAUGUCAGGCAUUCCUAAAAAGAGGCAGCUCUGAAGUGUCAGCUGAAACAUUAUGAGAUGUUACAUUUAGAAUGGAGAGUUGAUUUCUCAUAAAGGGUUACAGCCUG